GUGCGUAGGUGUCUAAUAAGUCAGUGGUGAAAUCUCUUGCUUAACAAGGAAAUUGCCAUUGAAACUGUUAGACUUGAGAAUGGACGAGGUAGGCGGAAUUCGUAGUGUAGCGGUGAAAUGCAUAGAUAUUACGAAGAACUCCAAUAGUGUAGACUGCUUACCAGACCAUAUCUGACACUAAGGCACGAAAGUGUGGGUAUCAAACAGGAUUAGAUACCCUGGUAGUCCACACAGUAAACGAUGAAUACUAACUGUUUGCGAUAUACAGCAAGUGGUCGAGCGAAAGCGUUAAGUAUUCCACCUGGGAAGUAUGCCGGCAACGGUGAAACUCAAAGGAAUUGACGGGGGCCCGCACAAGCGGAGGAACAUGUGGUUUAAUUCGAUAAUACGCGAGGAACCUUACCCGGGCUCGAACGAUAUUUGAAUACAUCCGAAAAGAUGUAGCUAGCAAUAGCAAAUACCGAGGUGCUGCAUGGUUGUCGUCAGCUCGUGCCGUGAGGUGUCGACUUAAGUGUCAUAACGAGCGCAACCCUUACCGAUAGUUACCAUCAGAUAAUGCUGGGGACUCUAUUGGGACUGCCACCGUAAGGUGUGAGGAAGGAGAGGAUGACGUCAAAUCAGCACGGCCCUUAUGUCCGGGGCGACACACGUGUUACAAUGGGAGAAACAAAGGGUCGCUACCUGGCAACAGGAUGCUAAUCUCGAAAAUCUCUCUCAGUUCGGAUUGGAGUCUGCAACUCGACUCCAUGAAGCUGGAUUCGCUAGUAAUCGCACAUCAGCCAUGGUGCGGUGAAUACGUUCCCGGGCCUUGUACACACCGCCCGUCAAGCCAUGGAAGCUGGAAGUACCUGAAGUAUGUAACUGAAAAGAGCGUCCUAAGUAACUCA
rnacentral:rRNA from 1 species